rnacentral:lncRNA from 1 species
UGGAAGACUUGCCUUAAAUCCCAAACCCCAAGUCCCAUAAAUACCUUGCCUAUUCUUUAAACUCCAAAUCACUGCUACUAAUCCUUCAUCUCCCCACUAAGGUAGUGUUCUCUAUACUGCAGUAAGCAAUUAGCCUAGGUCUUUCUUAUCAAUGGAUUAUUUUUGUGUUAUUUUGAGGGGUUGAACAUUCAGUAAUAUUUGGCAGUGGUAGGGCAUGUACCCUGGCUGGCUGUGUCUCUGGGGCAGGUUCCUGGAAGACCUGCUGGGUCUGGCAAUCUUCAGACAGUGGGGCAGUUAUGAGAAGCUCCCAAGAGGGAGGAGAGUUGGAGUAGCUGGGUUCGGUGGGUGGGGUAGAGUGCUGGGGUGGGGGUGCUCUGUUCACUGCCUGGUGUAGAAGAGUUCCACAAUUUUAACAAUUGGUAGAAACAUUCUAUUUCUGUACUGGUGGGUGCCACCUAAUAUCAGGCCUUGAUGAAAUGAUCAGGAAAACCAGAUGCAAGGAAAAGAUGACCAAUGGAUGCCGGUGUGGCUAGAUCCUGAAGCCUUUCCAACUUUUCCAAGCCUCCAUGGAACUUAAAUAUAGCCCUAGGGUAAGAACUGCAUUCUCCAAGAUAUUUACUCCUCUGCUGGGAUCAGUGUGUCUACAUGGAGCUAAGGUCAGUGUCCCUGCUGCAAGCUGUGUCCACCACACCAGACUGCUGUCUCAUUUAGUUCAGCCCAUGAUUAUAUACCGUCUAAAAUUGGUAACAUUUUAA